rnacentral:misc_RNA from 1 species
UUUCCGUAGGUGAACCUGCGGAAGGAUCAUUAUCGUACAAAAUGUGAGGGGCAUGCGAGGGCUGUCGCUGACCCAAGAGUCGCGCACGCCCGAGUGUGUCCUCUUGCAUAAUAAUCCAUCUCACCCUUUGUGCAUCACCGCGUGGGCACCCUUCGGGAUCAUCUCGGAGGGGGGCUCGCGUUUUCACACAAACCCCCCUUUUAAAAGUGUAGAAUGACCACAUUUAUGCAAUCAAUACAACUUUCAACAACGGAUCUCUUGGCUCUC